AAAAGGCUAAAGGGAUGAGGUGGUGGAGUAGGAAAAGGCUAGAGGAAUGAGGUGGGGGAGUAGGACAAGGCUAAAGGGAUGAGGUGGUGGAGUAGGAAAAGGCUAAAGGGAUGAGGUGGGGUUAGUAGGACAAGGCUAAAGGAAUGAGGUGGGAGAGUAGGACAAUGCUAGAGGAAUGAGGUGGGGGAGUAGAACAACGCUAGAGGAAUGAGGUGGGGGAGUAGAACAACGCUAGAGGAAUGAGGUGGGGUAGUAGGACAACGCUAAAGGAAUAAGGUGGGGGAGUAGCACAAGGCUAAAGGAAUGAGGUGGGGGAGUAGGACAAGGAUAAAGGAAGGAGGUGGGACAGUAGGGCAAGGCUAAAGGGAUGAGGUGGGGGAGUAGGGCAAGGCUAAAGGGAUGAGGUGGGAAAGUAGGGCAAGGCCAAAGGGAUGAGGUGGGACAGUAGGGCAAGGCUAAAGGGAUGAGGUGGGGGAGUAGGGCAAGACUAAAGGGAUGAGGUGGAGGAGUCAGUGCGACAGGUUUAAUCCCCUCCUCUAUCUCCAUCCACAACACCCUAGCAAGCUGCAAGCCUACUAGAUGGUAAUAGGCACUCAAGUUGCCCCUAGGGGACGGUCUUGAAGGCAUCUCCCGACAUCCUACGGACCUGGGCAAACGUUGAAUACUGAAAUCUAUCUUGUGUGACCUGGCUGGUAUAGGGAUAAGGAGGGGAGCCAGACAAGCUCAUGCACAUUACUGUAUAAUAUGCUAUUUAUUUGUAAUAAUAAUGAAGAUGCGAUUUCCUUCACAUUGAUUAUGAAUUAUUAUAUUAACUAUAACACAAGAAAGUGAGAAAAUGUCCAGUGAAGUUGGGUGACACUGAACACAUACACACACCAACACAAGCCCUUGACUACCCCUUGAAUCAGGGGUGUUAAUGUUGGUUCUGGAACAAAUAUGUGCAGGCUUGGGAAAUCCCCUACACUAGAGUGAAGUCCAGCCUGGCUACUAUGGCAACCAUUCUGUUCCUUAAACUCUGAGGUCAGCCCUUUCUUUCACCCAUAAUUCCCUGUUUCAGGAGGAGCGAGCGGCCGUUUCCAGCCGGUCAGUCCCCAUCAGUGUCCCUGCCAAGCCCACAAUAAACUGUGGCUAAAAGUUGUGUGUUUCAUAUCCCUUCCCUCCUUGACACAAAUGGCCCCUGUCAGACAGAGGAAAAUGGUUUCUACCCUGCGUCCUUCAUUUUACUUGCAAAAACAUGGCAGCUCUUUAACUAAAUACAACAUAAACUAAAUGCCUGAGACGUGUGUGUGUAUGUUCCUUUUUGGAAAAACGACAUGAAUUUCACGUGAUCACGUGUUUU
ensembl:lncRNA